GAUGAACGCUGGCGGCGUGCCUAAUACAUGCAAGUCGAGCGAACAGACGAGGAUCUUGCUCCUCUGACGUUAGCGGCGGACGGGUGAGUAACACGUGUAUCACCUACCUAUAAGACUGGUAUAACUUCGGGAAACCGGCUCUAAUACCGGAUAAUAUAUUGAACCGCAUGGUUCAAUAGUGAAAUACGGUUGUUCUGUCACUUAUCGAUGCAACCGCGCCGCAUUAGCGAGUUGUUAGUGUAACGGCUUACCACGGGAACGAUGCCUAGCCGACCUGAGGGGGGGAUGCGGCACUGUGGAGCUGACAGGCGGCACAGGGUCCUAGGGGAGGCAGCGGUAGGGAAUGUAGCGAAAUGGGCGAAAGCCUGACGGAGGAACGCCGCGUGAGUGAUGAAAGUCUUCGGAUCGUAAAACGCUGUUAUUAGGGAAGAACAAAUGUGUAAGUAACUAUGCACGUCUGGACGGUACCUAAAAAGAAGGCCACGGCUAACUCCUU
rnacentral:rRNA from 1 species